UCAGGUGCGGGGCUCAGGGGCUGUGGGGCAGAAACCCGUUGGACAACAGGUCGGCGCUGAACGAACGGCUCCCAUUUAACCCCCAAAUUCUGCGUCGUAAAACUCCAGGUGAAAGCGGAAACAAAACCAGGGGGGAAUUGAAAUGUGGGAAGAGUGAAAUAAACAG